rnacentral:rRNA from 1 species
UAAUACGGAGGGUGCAAGCGUUAAUCGGAAUUACUGGGCGUAAAGCGCACGCAGGCGGUUUGUUAAGUCAGAUGUGAAAUCCCCGGGCUCAACCUGGGAACUGCAUUUGAAACUGGCAAGCUAGAGUCUCGUAGAGGGGGGUAGAAUUCCAGGUGUAGCGGUGAAAUGCGUAGAGAUCUGGAGGAAUACCGGUGGCGAAGGCGGCCCCCUGGACGAAGACUGACGCUCAGGUGCGAAAGCGUGGGGAGCAAACAGGAUUAGAUACCCUGGUAGUCCACGCUGUAAACGAUGUCAAUUUGGAGGUUGUGCCCUUGAGGCGUGGCUUCCGGAGCUAACGCGUUAAAUCGACCGCCUGGGGAGUACGGCCGCAAGGUUA